CUCCUUGAGAGGGUAAAGGCUCCCAGUAGACGACUGGGUUGAUAGGCCAGAUGUGGAAGCCCGGUAACGGGUGGAGCUGACUGGUACUAAUAGGCCGA
rnacentral:ncRNA from 1 species